rnacentral:rRNA from 1 species
UUCCAGACUCCUACGGGAGGCAGCAGUAGGGAAUCUUCCACAAUGGGCGCAAGCCUGAUGGAGCAGCACCGCGUGAGUGAAGAAGGGUUUCGGCUCGUAAAGCUCUUUUGUUGGAGAAGAACGUGCGUGAGAGUAACUGUUCACGCAGUGACGGUAUCCAACCAGAAAGUCACGGCUAACUACGUGCCAGCAGCCGCGGUAAUACGUAGGUGGCAAGCGUUAUCCGGAUUUAUUGGGCGUAAAGCGAGCGCAGGCGGUUGCUUAGGGCUGAUGUGAAAGCCUUCGGCUUAAACGAAGAAGUGCAUCGGAAACCGGGCGACUUGAGUGCAGAAGAGGACAGUGGAACUCCAUGUGUAGCGGUGGAAUGCGUAGAUAUAUGGAAGAACACCAGUGGCGAAGGCGGCUGUCUGGUCUGCAACUGACGCUGAGGCUCGAAAGCAUGGGUAGCGAACAGGAUUAGAUACCCCCGUA